rnacentral:rRNA from 1 species
ACGGCCUUCGGGUUGUAAACCUCUUUUAGUAGGGAAGAAGCGUAACAGUGACGGUACCUGCAGAAAAAGCACCGGCUAACUACGUGCCAGCAGCCGCGGUAAUACGUAGGGUGCAAGCGUUGUCCGGAAUUAUUGGGCGUAAAGAGCUCGUAGGCGGUUUGUCGCGUCUGCUGUGAAAACCCGAGGCUCAACCUCGGGCCUGCAGUGGGUACGGGCAGACUAGAGUGCGGUAGGGGAGAUUGGAAUUCCUGGUGUAGCGGUGGAAUGCGCAGAUAUCAGGAGGAACACCAAUGGCGAAGGCAGAUCUCUGGGCCGUAACUGACGCUGAGGAGCGAAAGCAUGGGGAGCGAACAGGAUUAGAUACCCUGGUAGUCCAUGCCGUAAACGUUGGGAACUAGAUGUGGGGACCAUUCCUCGGUCUCCGUGUCGCAGCUAACGCAUUAAGUUCCCCGCCUGGGGAGUACGGCCGCAAGGCUAAAACUCAAAGGAAUUGACGGAAUCACUA